GCUUAUGCGUUGUUGGGUAGGGGAGCGUUCUGUAAGCCUGCGAAGGUGUGCUGUGAGGCAUGCUGGAGGUAUCAGAAGUGCGAAUGCUGACAUAAGUAACGAUAAAGCGGGUGAAAAGCCCGCUCGCCGGAAGACCAAGGGUUCCUGUCCAACGUUAAUCGGGGCAGGGUGAGUCGACCCCUAAGGCGAGGCCGAAAGGCGUAGUCGAUGGGAAACAGGUUAAUAUUCCUGUACUUGGUGUUACUGCGAAGGGGGGACGGAGAAGGCUAUGUUGGCCGGGCGACGGUUGUCCCGGUUUAAGCGUGUAGGCUGGUUUUCCAGGCAAAUCCGGAAAAUCAAGGCUGAGGCGUGAUGACGAGGCACUACGGUGCUGAAGCAACAAAUGCCCUGCUUCCAGGAAAAGCCUCUAAGCAUCAGGUAACAUCAAAUCGUACCCCAAACCGACACAGGUGGUCAGGUAGAGAAUACCAAGGCGCUUGAGAGAACUCGGGUGAAGGAACUAGGCAAAAUGGUGCCGUAACUUCGGGAGAAGGCACGCUGAUAUGUAGGUGAAGUCCCUUGCGGAUGGAGCUGAAAUCAGUCGAAGAUACCAGCUGGCUGCAACUGUUUAUUAAAAACACAGCACUGUGCAAACACGAAAGUGGACGUAUACGGUGUGACGCCUGCCCGGUGCCGGAAGGUUAAUUGAUGGGGUCAGCGCAAGCGAAGCUCUUGAUCGAAGCCCCGGUAAACGGCGGCCGUAACUAUAACGGUCCUAAGGUAGCGAAAUUCCUUGUCGGGUAAGUUCCGACCUGCACGAAUGGCGUAAUGAUGGCCAGGCUGUCUCCACCCGAGACUCAGUGAAAUUGAACUCGCUGUGAAGAUGCAGUGUACCCGCGGCAAGACGGAAAGACCCCGUGAACCUUUACUAUAGCUUGACACUGAACAUUGAGCCUUGAUGUGUAGGAUAGGUGGGAGGCUUUGAAGUGUGGACGCCAGUCUGCAUGGAGCCGGCCUUGAAAUACCACCCUUUAAUGUUUGAUGUUCUAACGUGGACCCGUGAUCCGGGUUGCGGACAGUGUCUGGUGGGUAGUUUGACUGGGGCGGUCUCCUCCUAAAGAGUAACGGAGGAGCACGAAGGUUGGCUAAUCCUGGUCGGACAUCAGGAGGUUAGUGCAAUGGCAUAAGCCAGCUUGACUGCGAGCGUGACGGCGCGAGCAGGUGCGAAAGCAGGUCAUAGUGAUCCGGUGGUUCUGAAUGGAAGGGCCAUCGCUCAACGGAUAAAAGGUACUCCGGGGAUAACAGGCUGAUACCGCCCAAGAGUUCAUAUCGACGGCGGUGUUUGGCACCUCGAUGUCGGCUCAUCACAUCCUGGGGCUGAAGUAGGUCCCAAGGGUAUGGCUGUUCGCCAUUUAAAGUGGUACGCGAGCUGGGUUUAGAACGUCGUGAGACAGUUCGGUCCCUAUCUGCCGUGGGCGCUGGAGAACUGAGGGGGGCUGCUCCUAGUACGAGAGGACCGG
rnacentral:rRNA from 1 species